AUUCGACAUUUCCUAAGAUUCGACUUGGUGAAAUCCACUAUUUCAUAUAUCGGAAAAAGGAAUGAUCCAUCGGGCUCAGGAUUGUUCUCUGAUAAUGGAUCAGAUUGCACCAAUACCAAUCCGUUUUCUUCCAGUUAUUGCAAGGCAAGAAUUCAACAACCCCUUAAUCAAAAUCAAAGAACUAUUCAUACGUUGUUGAAUAGAAAUACGGGAUUCCAAUCGUUGAUAAUUUUGUCAUCAUCGGAUUGGCCGUAGGGCUUGCUUCUAUUGGACCUGGAGUUGGUCAAGGGACUGCUGCAGGUCAAGCCAUAGAGGGUAUCGCGAGACAGCCCGAGGCAGAGGGAAAAAUACGAGGUACUCUAUUGCUUAGUCUAGCUUUUAUGGAAGCUUUAACGAUUUAUGGAUUGGU